rnacentral:tRNA from 1 species
UCUGAGUCAGUCCACGCUACACGUUGGUCACUGUACUACACGCUACACGGUAUCGUGCGUUGAAACGCGAUGAAAAUAAGGAAAGAGAUGGCCGGCGUAAAUCCCCGGAAACCCACCAAUAUCUUGUUAAAAAAUGUAAAUAACUCGACUCGACUGAACACUUUCCUUACAAAAAGCCUUCGAUUCGUGUAAUGUUGGCGGUGCUAGUCUACUCGUUCGCAUCGAAUAUUCUUGCUCAUUAAAUCGGAAUGAUGGAACCGUACAAAUGCUGUAGAUGAAUAUUAAUGACUGCCAUCUGGAGUUAAGAAUAUUUGGAUGAUGUCAGGAGCAAGGAUAACGGUAUGAUGUAUAAAUUAUAUAAUAUAAUAUAUGCUAGAUUUAUUUUAGGAACAGAUGCCAUAAAAUAUAUUCGCUAAAACACGGGUUCUCAUCGGACGAGGUGGCCGAGUGGUUAAGGCGUUGGACUGCUAAUCCAAUGUGCUCUGCACGCGUGGGUUCGAAUCCCAUCCUCGUCGAUUCGCUUUUUGUUACUUUGCAAAACAUUCUAGUUCAUAAGCUAAAUUCCAUGUAUCUGAAUUUGUCGGGGAACGAAGAAUUUAUAUUUUAUAUAACUGGAAUUCAUAAAAUAAGAGCUUACCAAAUUUUCCCAUUAUUUACUAUUUUUGGUUCAUACAAUAGGAGCUUGCGUUUAAGCAAGCGAAUUCAAGUAGCGAAAUUUCAGUUAUACAAAGUUUAGUUAACAUUAACUGAAAUUUUGUUCAAACGAAUGGAGUCCAGUUAGAUGAAGUUCCAUUGUAUAUGUAUUAAUUUAUUAUUAUUUUAGAAACAAUGAUUAAUGACUUUUUGUUACACAUAACUAAAAAAAAUUUAACGACUCUUUAGUGAACCAGAAGUACUAAAAAAAAGGAAGUAAAAUUUUAUUACUUAUGUAACACGUUGUUAUCAAAUUAUGGUAUUGGAUAAACUAAUUUUAUUGAAAUAGCAUAUUUGAAAAGCUUAGUUUAGUUUGAAGUCAGUACGUAGAUUGUUUGUUUAAUAAAAUAUUUUCCAUUAUUUAUAUAUAUUGCAAUUUAUUAUUACUUUAUAGACACUGUUUAAUGAUUUUUCAAUAAGUAUAAUAUAUUCAUUAAAAUCCCUAAAAUCCGCUUCUACAAAUAUUGUAGAGUACGAGUAUUGAAUUUAUAAAUGUAUGUUUAUUACAUACAUGUUAAUUAGCUCAAAUGAAUUAAGAUAUAUUUAUUCGAGAACUACGUAGUAUUUACGUAUAUUUGUGCACAUUUUCUCCCUUUCUCUUCAAACAUGAUAUAAAAUAAUUGAUGUACAGUAUAAUACAAGAUAUUAAGCACGUAUAUCUAACCACGAAUUUAGCCAAGAUUGUAUUAAACAAGUUUAUGUAAUGGAGUAAAUUUUUAUAAUUGACGAACCGGCAAAAUCAAAUUUAUUUGUUUAAUUUUUAAAUAUCCUCUUCGAAUAGAGGUAUUACCUGUAUUACCGUCGAUGGCUUCUCGUCGUUACACAAUCAAUUAUGUAACUGAGGAAUGUGCUUCAUGUUCGAUCAUGAAUUUUUUUGUGGAGUCGUUCCAAUGGUGUUCGAAUAGACCACCGAGAUUUGACGUCAAUAGAAUUGAAAACAAAGUGGGAUAAUGAAAAACGUGUGUAAAAUGUACACGGUAAAUUAGUUUGCUAAUGUGUAAUUAGCAGAACACCCCCUAGUCGUUUGCAUUAUUCAUUACGUCUUCGUAUCGUAAGAAACAAUCACAUUUAAUGGAUUUUCCUUAGCGCAAGUGACUGCAUUAGGCUUAUGUAUUACCGGAGUACAUAAUUGUAUAUUAUAAAUUAUCAUGCGAGCAACGAUCUACUUGUUUGAUGAAGCAUGACACUGGUAGUUCGCAGAAACAUAUUAAGUAAUAAAAUCAACUAGUGUAUGCCAUUUUUCACUAGCAAAUAGCGAUGUAAGUAGUAUUCAAUAGUAGAGAUGAUAAAAUAUAAUUUUUCUCGUUUAUUUAUACCUAUAAAUUAUGUAUUAAUUUAUUGAGUCAUAUUUUUUAUAGUAUUGUCCAUUUUACGCUAUAAAAAGUUUAAACGCUGAGUCAUAGUGUAGUUUGUAUAAUUUCUUAGUAAGAAGUCCAUCAAAGUGAAAUUCAUUGUUUCCUUAGAACGCAAUCACCUUUGAUAUAUUGUAGAAUGCAGGCACGUGUACGAGUGAGUAAUUGAAUGGGUAUAAAUUCGUCAUUUGAUAGGAAUUAGUUAAUUUAUGCGAUUUUUUAACGUAAUAAUCUAUAAAUUAUAAAUAAGAAUAUAUAUAUAUUGGAAAUGAAGUGCCAUAAAAAGAAUGAAUACUUUCAUUUCUGCUUAAGGAUAUCCCAUUAUUUAUUUACUCUAUUCAAUUAUUUAUUCAAAAUGUCUAAUGCAUGGGCUCUUUAUUCUGAAUGAAUUUAUUUAUGUCUGAAUUUAAUAAAUACGUUCUAAAUUUUAGAACACGAAAUAAGUAAUAUAAUGGUACACCAUGCACGGAUCAUAGUUAAUUAUUUCAAGGACGAAAUGCGUGCCUUCUUGUGCGCUUGUUGAAAAACUUCUCGAGACAAUUAUUUUGCAAAUUGUUGCAAGCAAAGAUAUCGCAUUGAUCAAGGCUAUUGAAUCGAUAAACAAUAGGAACUGUGAUCAUUUGUAGCCUCCUGUCAAGAUCAGAUUUAUUUGAGUAUUUAGUAGUGAUAUAAUCUUCAUACUAUGUUUCUGAAGAAGUUGUCAAUUACCAUUAA